rfam:Musa acuminata subsp. malaccensis Doubled-haploid Pahang (DH-Pahang) genomic chromosome, chr4
UUGCCUAUGAAGAAAUCUAAGAACCAAAUACCAUCUUUCGGGACUGAUUGGACUUUUGUAUCCAUGCUGUUGUAAUCCUACAAUUCUGAGGCAU